rnacentral:rRNA from 1 species
UACGUAGGUGGCAAGCGUUGUCCGGAUUUACUGGGCGUAAAGAGCGCGCAGGCGGUCGUUCAAGUCGCGUGUGAAAGCCCCCCGGCUCAACUGGGGAGGGUCAUUCGAUACUGAUCGACUCGAAGGCAGGAGAGAGAAGUGGAAUUCCCCGGUGUAGUGGUGAAAUGCGUAGAUAUCGGGAGGAACACCAGUGGCGAAGGCGACUUCUUGGCCUGUUCUUGACGCUGAGGCGCGAAAGCUGGGGGAGCAAACGGG